rfam:Strongylocentrotus purpuratus Contig63316_fixed, whole genome shotgun sequence.
ACAACGGCUCUUUUAAGAGCCACCAAAUUUCCAAGAAAGAAACAG